CGUUGAAACACCGGUUCUCGUACGAUCAGCGAAAUUAAGCAACGUCGAACAUAGUCAGUACCUAGAUGGGUGACUGCUUACGAACAGCAGGUGCUGUAAG